CAGCACUGACAUUCACAUCAUUUGUCAUUUAGAUAUGAGCCCCGUUUGGGUUUUUAGCUCGUUUUUACAGACGAUAAAUAGCAGUAAAAAAGUUUCCUGCGUUUAAAAAGAAAAUGUUUAUUGUUCCAAGGUGGACGUAACAACUGAAAAUACAUAUAACACCAAAGGAAGUGACACGACGGAUGGACGCAGUAAAAAACGGAGUGCGGGAAUUACCAACGCUUUAAGAUGUCCCCCCAUCCGCAUCCUGUUCUGGGAAAAGAAUCUUCUGUUAUUGAGAAUCCUGCAGGAAAGCAGAGCUUGCUGCGAUCUCCAUCGUACACACAUUUGCUUUUGUUUUACUUCUCUUGUGAUAAAGCUGUGAAACCUACAUGUCUUGGUGUGAAGACGCCUCAUCCGGCCAAAAGCAACAAAGAUGGAGGAGAGACGCCUGCAUCGUGUUUGGUCAAAGCUCGGGAAUCGGUGGGAACAAAAGACUCUGCAAACAUUGGCUGAGCUCUCGCACAUAAACAACGCAGCGGAUGGAUCCGAUAGCAGAAUAAGUCAGAAAGGCUCUGAUUAUUAUUCAGGACACUAAGGUCCUCCCUCUCUAGCCCGAGUCGGAGCUUCGCCUGCAAAACUUUCCCUGGGAUGGAUCUUUUUAGAGGGAGGAGCGCUUCCAGAGAACAAAGGUGGC
ensembl:lncRNA